rnacentral:rRNA from 1 species
CCUACGGGUGGCAGCAGUGGGGGAUAUUGGACAAUGGGGGGAACCCUGAUCCAGCGACGCCGCGUGAGUGAAGAAGUCUUUCGGUAUGUAAAGCUCUGUCAGCAGGGAAGAAAGAUAUGACGGUACCUGACCACGAAGCUCCGGCUAACUACGUGCCCGCAGCCGCGGUAAUACGUAGGGGGAAAGAGUUAUCCGGAAUUACGGGGUGUAAAGGGGGCGUAGACGGUUAAGUAAGUCUGGAGUGAAAGGCCGGGGCCCAACCCCGGGACUGCUCUGGAAACUAUUGAGCUUGAGUGCAGGGGAGGUAAGCGGAAUUCCUAGUGUAGCGGUGAAAUGCAUAGAUAUUA